rnacentral:lncRNA from 1 species
AUCGAUUUUAUUGAUCAGACCAUUGAUGUAUCCAUGUUAUUUACAAAAUCAUGGGAAGAAUGCAUUAAAGAACAAGGAGUAAAAACACCAACAUGUUUUUUACCUCACAGCAUUAAUCCACAUACAUUUUAUCCAUUGCCUAAAUUUUUAGCGCGUAAGUUUUUUAAUCUAAGUAUGGAUGAUUUUAUAAUUCUCAAUCUAAAUCGAAACCAACCUCGUAAAAGAUGGGAUAUUUGUCUUAAAGCAUUU